rnacentral:rRNA from 1 species
CUGACGAGUGGCGAACGGGUGAGUAAUGCAUCGGAACGUGCCCAGUCGUGGGGGAUAACUGCUCGAAAGAGCAGCUAAUACCGCAUACGAUCUGCGGAUGAAAGCGGGGGACCUUCGGGCCUCGCGCGAUUGGAGCGGCCGAUGUCAGAUUAGGUAGUUGGUGGGGUAAAGGCUCACCAAGCCAACGAUCUGUAGCUGGUCUGAGAGGACGACCAGCCACACUGGGACUGAGACACGGCCCAGACUCCUACGGGAGGCAGCAGUGGGGAAUUUUGGACAAUGGGCGCAAGCCUGAUCCAGCAAUGCCGCGUGCAGGAAGAAGGCCUUCGGGUUGUAAACUGCUUUUGUACGGAACGAAACGGUCUGGGUUAAUACCCUGGGCUAAUGACGGUACCGUAAGAAUAAGCACCGGCUAACUACGUGCCAGCAGCCGCGGUAAUACGUAGGGUGCAAGCGUUAAUCGGAAUUACUGGGCGUAAAGCGUGCGCAGGCGGUUGUGUAAGACAGGCGUGAAAUCCCCGGGCUCAACCUGGGAAUGGCGCUUGUGACUGCGCAACUGGAGUGCGGCAGAGGGGGAUGGAAUUCCGCGUGUAGCAGUGAAAUGCGUAGAUAUGCGGAGGAACACCGAUGGCGAAGGCAAUCCCCUGGGCCUGCACUGACGCUCAUGCACGAAAGCGUGGGGAGCAACAGGAUUAAAUACCCUGGUAGUCACCCCCUAACGAUGUCACUGGUUGUGGUCUUA